rnacentral:rRNA from 1 species
GAUGAACGCUGGCGGCGUGCCUAAUACAUGCAAGUCGAGCGAACGGACGAGAAGCUUGCUUUUCUGAUGUUAGCGGCGGACGGGUGAGUAACACGUGGAUAACCUACCUAUAAGACUGGGAUAACUUCGGGAAACCGGAGCUAAUACCGGAUAAUAUUUUGAACCGCAUGGUUCAAAAGUGAAAGACGGUCUUGCUGUCACUUAUAGAUGGAUCCGCGCUGCAUUAGCUAGUUGGUAAGGUAACGGCUUACCAAGGCAACGAUGCAUAGCCGACCUGAGAGGGUGAUCAGCCACACUGGAACUGAGACACGGUCCAGACUCCUACGGGAGGCAGCAGUAGGGAAUCUUGCGCAAUGGGCGAAAGCCUGACGGAGCCACGCCGCGUGGGUGAAGAAGGUCUUCGGAUCGUAAAACUCUGUUAUUUGGGAAGAACCUAAGUGGAAGGAACUGUUCACCUCUUGACGGUACCUAAACAAAAAGCCCCGGCUAACUUCGUG